rnacentral:rRNA from 1 species
GACGAACGCUGGCGGCGUGCUUAACACAUGCAAGUCGAACGGAAAGGCCCCUUUGGGGGUACUCGAGUGGCGAACGGGUGAGUAACACGUGAGUAACCUGCCCUUGACUUCGGGAUAACUUCAGGAAACUGGGGCUAAUACCGGAUAGGAAUCCUUGCUGCAUGGUGGGGGUUGGAAAGCUUCGGCGGUUUUGGAUGGACUCGCGACUUAUCAGCUUGUUGGUGGGGUAGUGGCUUACCAAGGCUUUGACGGGUAGCCGGCCUGAGAGGGCGACCGGCCACAUUGGGACUGAGGGACGGCCCAGACUCCUACGGGAGGCAGCAGGGGGGAAUAUUGCACAAGGGGCGGAAGCCGUAUGCAGCAGCGCCGCGUGCGGGAUGACGGCCUUCGGGUUGAAAACCGCUUUCAGCAGGGGAGAAGCUUAUGGUGACGGUACCUGCAGAAGAAGCACCGGCUAACUACGUG